rnacentral:rRNA from 1 species
ACGCUGGCGGCGUGCCUAACACAUGCAAGUCGAACGAGAACGGGUUAUAGCUUGCUAUAACUGUCAGCUGAGUGGCGCACGGGUGAGUAAUAUAUAGUUAACCUGCCCUCGAGAAAGGAAUAACAGUUGGAAACGACUGCUAAUGCCCUAUAUGCCUUUAUGACAUAAGUCAGCAAGGGAAAUGCUUUUGUGCUCGAGGAUGGGACUGUAUGGUAUCAGAUAGUUGGUGGGGUAAUGGCCUACCAAGUCAAUGACGCCUAACUGGUUUGAGAGGAUGAUCAGUCACACUGGAACUGAGACACGGUCCAGACUCCUACGGGAGGCAGCAGUGGGGAAUAUUGCACAAUGGAGGAAACUCUGAUGCAGCAACGCCGCGUGGAGGAUGACACAUUUCGGUGCGUAAACUCCUUUUAUAUAGGAAGAUAAUGACGGUACUAUAUGAAUAAGCACCGGCUAACUCCGUGCCAGCAGCCGCGGUAAUACGGAGGGUGCAAGCGUUACUCGGAAUCACUGGGCGUAAAGAGCGUGUAGGCGGGUAAAUAAGUUUGAAGUGAAAUCCUAUAGCUCAACUAUAGAACUGCUUUGAAAACUGUUAACCUAGAAUAUGGGAGAGGUAGAUGGAAUUUCUGGUGUAGGGGUAAAAUCCGUAGAGAUCAGAAGGAAUACCGAUUGCGAAGGCGAUCUACUGGAACAUUAUUGACGCUGAGACGCGAAAGCGUGGGGAGCAAACAGGAUUAGAUACCCUGGUAGUCCACGCCCUAAACGAUGUACACUAGUUGUUGUGAGGCUUGACCUUGCAGUAAUGCAGUUA